rnacentral:rRNA from 1 species
AUGCCAUCAGGCGCGGCGUGCCGAGCCCGCCGAAGCCUCCUCUGCCCCACCGCCCCCUGCAGCGCAUCCCUCCGUCGAGCAUCCGGUCAUGCCGAGCAACGCCGCGGACCAGUCCGUAGGCAGGAUCUAUCUGGCCGACCUCAUUUGAGCUGCGGCUUAAGUAUUCCUACUGCACGGGUUUGCACAUAUGAUACAUAG